rnacentral:misc_RNA from 1 species
UUUAGAAGCCCCUUGCGCGUAGGAGCUGAGGAGCCGAUUCUUUCUUGCUAAGUAAACGUAAAUUUUCUUGCCGUUUCCUUCACUUUCUCUGCAACUUUCCUGGAAAAUUUCCCAAUCAGAUGUCGAAUAAGGAAGGUCAAGACUUCUAUUCUAGUCUUUCAAGGAAAGAGCUUCAAAGUUUGUGCAAGAAAUUUGGCUUGCCUGCUAGAAAGUCAAGUUUUGAAAUGGGUAAAUCAUUGUUCUCGUUCUUUCAGAAGAAUGAUUUAAGCUUGACAUCCUUAGGCAAGACCGGAGGUGGGAUCCAAGAGGUUUUACUUCCUCCAUCUUCAGUAACAACAUGGCAUGCUGAAGCACCUUUCAAUUUGACAGGAAAUAUAAUAAAAGAUAGCUUUCAACAGAGAUCUUGUCCUAGAGAAGGUAACAGAGGAAAUAUAAGCACUAAAUCCAAAGAAUUGGAAAGCUGCACGGGAGUCGGGGCUCAUGACAAGGAAGACUUUGGUGGUGCGAUUGAUUAUUUUCCGGGUCCAUCCCAGCCUCAAUUUGUUUCUCGAAGUGUGGGUGGUGGUGUCAUCCAUAAGGAGACCCCAUCAAGCUUCAGUGGCCGCAUGGAGCAUACA